AACUAAUACUAGCCCAACUCAUCACCAACACAAUUAUCACAAUUACAUAAAUCAAAACAUUUAGUCACACUAUUACAGUAUAGGAGAUAGAAAUUCUAUUUGGAGCUAUAGAGAAAGUACCGCAAGGGAACGAUGAAAGAAAUAUUUAAAGUAACAGACAGCAAAGAUUACCCCUUAUACCUUUUGCAUAAUGAACUAGCUAGAAUAAUUCAGCAAAGAGACCUUAAGCUAACCCCCCCGAAACCAGACGAGCUACCUAUGAACAAUCCACAGGGAUACACUCAUCUAUGUAGCAAAAUAGUGAGAAGAUUCGUAGGUAGAGGUGAAAAGCCUAACGAGCCUGGUGAUAGCUGGUUGCCCAGGACAGAAUCUCAGUUCAACUUUAAAUUUACCUAAUAACCAUUAAAUUGUAAUGUAAAUUUAAAAUAUAGUCUAAAAAGGUACAGCUUUUUAGAACAAGGAUACAACCUUGCUUAGAGAGUAAAAAUUAAAUAAAACCAUAGUAGGCCUAAGAGCAGCCACCAAUUAAGAAAGCGUUCAAGCUCAACAAUACAAUCACCUUAAUCCCUAUAAUUUCAUACAACUCCUAACACACUACUGGGCCAAUCUAUUUAAUAAUAGAAGCAAUAAUGCUAGUAUGAGUAACAAGAAACAUUUCUCCUUGCAUAAGCUUAUAACAGUCAACGAAUACUCGCUGAUAGUUAACAACAAGAUAAAGACAAACCACUAAUAAACACAUUUAUCAAACCAAUUGUUAGUCCAACACAGGCAUGCAAUAAGGAAAGAUUAAAAGAAGUAAAAGGAACUCGGCAAACUCAAACCCCGCCUGUUUACCAAAAACAUCACCUCCAGCAUAUCUAGUAUUGGAGGCACUGCCUGCCCAGUGACACUAGUUUAACGGCCGCGGUAUCCUGACCGUGCAAAGGUAGCAUAAUCAUUUGUUCUCUAAAUAGGGACUUGUAUGAAUGGCCACACGAGGGUUUAACUGUCUCUUACUUCCAAUCAGUGAAAUUGACCUUCCCGUGAAGAGGCGGGAAUACACCAAUAAGACGAGAAGACCCUAUGGAGCUUCAAUUAACUAACCCAUAAUAACCAAUCAACUUACCAACUAGGUCUAACAUAACUUUAUUACUGGGUUAGCAAUUUAGGUUGGGGUGACCUCGGAGAAUAAAACAACCUCCGAGUGAUUUAAUCACAGACAAACCAGUCGAAGCGUUCUAUCAUUCAUUGAUCCAAUAAUUUGAUCAACGGAACAAGUUACCCUAGGGAUAACAGCGCAAUCCUAUUUGAGAGUCCAUAUCAACAAUAGGGUUUACGACCUCGAUGUUGGAUCAGGACAUCCUAAUGGUGCAGCAGCUAUUAAAGGUUCGUUUGUUCAACGAUUAAAGUCCUACGUGAUCUGAGUUCAGACCGGAGCAAUCCAGGUCGGUUUCUAUCUAUUAUAAUUACUUCUCCCAGUACGAAAGGACAAGAGAAGUAAGGCCUAUUCUACAGGAAAGCCUUCGGACUAAUAGAUGAUAUAAUCUCAAUCUAGCCCGUCCACUUCAUCCCAUAACCCUAGAAAUAGGGUUU
rnacentral:rRNA from 1 species